CGGGGAUUAGCUCAGAUGGCUAGAGCGCUGGUUUUGGGAACCAGAGGUCGCGAGUUCGAGUCCCGCAUCCCCGA
rnacentral:tRNA from 1 species